rnacentral:rRNA from 1 species
AGAAUGCCGGAAUGAGUAGCGAGAUAGAGGUGGGAAUCCUCUAGGCCGAAUAUCCAAGGUUUCCAGAGUAAAGCUGAUCUGCUCUGGGUAAGUCGGGGCCUAAGGCGAGGACGAGAGUCGUAGCCGAUGGACAACAGGUGGAGAUUCCUGUACUGCGGUAUGACAGAACUGUGGGGACACGUAAGGAAAGCGGAAGCCGGGAAUGGAGAGCCCGGUGCAAGCGGGGUACCAGCCACUCUGGCAAAUCCGGGUGGCAAUGGGAAGCCGUGAUGCGGAGUGAAAUAAGGUAACGAAGUCCGUGAGCCAUGCGUCAGGAAAAGCCGCUAUUGUUUAUACCGUACCCGUACCGUAAACCGACACAGGUGGAUGAGGAGAGAAUCCUAAGGCCGGCGGAAGAAGCAUUGUCAAGGAACUCGGCAAAAUGGCCCCGUAACUUAGGGAUAAGGGGUGCCUCAGAAAUGAGGCCGCAGAGAAUAGGCUCAAGCAACUGUUUAGCAAAAACACAGGUCUAUGCGAAACCGAAAGGUGAGGUAUAUGGGCUGACGCCUGCCCGGUGCUGGAAGGUUAAGAGGAGAGGUUAGCGCAAGCGAAGCUUUGAAUUUAAGCCCCAGUAAACGGCGGCCGUAACUAUAACGGUCCUAAGGUAGCGAAAUUCCUUGUCGGGUAAGUUCCGACCCGCACGAAAGGCGUAAUGAUUUGAGCGCUGUCUCGACAAUGCAUCCGGUGAAAUUGAAGUACCAGUGAAGAUGCUGGUUACCUGCGCCUGGACGGAAAGACCCCAUGGAGCUUUACUCCAGUUUGGUACUGGGACUCGGUAUUGCAUGUACAGGAUAGGUGGGAGGCUAGGAGAUAGUAACGCCAGUUAUUAUGGAGCCGCUGUUGGGAUACCACCCUUGCAGUAUUGGGUUUCUAACCAGCCGCCGUGACCCGGCGGUGGGACAAUGCCAGACGGGGAGUUUGACUGGGGCGGUCGCCUCCGAAAGGGUAUCGGAGGCGCCCAAAGGUUCCCUCAGAAUGGACGGAAACCAUUCGAAGAGUGCAAAGGCAGAAGGGAGCUUGACUGCGACACCGACGGGUGGAGCAGGUACGAAAGUAGGGCUUAGUGAUCCGGUGGUAUUAAGUGGGAAUGCCAUCGCUCAACGGAUAAAAGCUACCCUGGGAUAACAGGCUUAUCACUCCCAAGAGUUCACAUCGACGGAGUGGUUUGGCACCUCGAUGUCGGCUCAUCGCAUCCUGGGGCUGUAGUAGGUCCCAAGGGUUGGGCUGUUCGCCCAUUAAAGCGGUACGCGAGCUGGGUUCAGAACGUCGUGAGACAGUUCGGUCCCUAUCCGGCGUGGGCGUAGGAUAUCUGAGAGGAGCUGUCCUUAGUACGAGAGGACCGGGAUGGACGGGCCGCUGGUGCAUCGGUUAGACUGCCAAGUCUACGGCCGAGUAGCCAAGCCCGGAAGGGAUAAACGCUGAAGGCAUCUAAGCGUGAAGCCCCCCUUAAGAUGAGAUAUCCCAUUCGAAAGAAGUAAACCCCCUUGAAGACGACGAGGUAGAUAGGGCAGAGGUGGAAGUGCAGUAAUGCAUGGAGCUGACUGUUACUAAUCGGGUGAGGGCUUGACC